GCUAACUAAAGAGAAGCUCACUUGUGAGGGACAGGCAGGGCUUCUACAAAAGACAGGAAACUGGAAGCAGUGGGGGCAGCAGACAGUCACUGGGAAGAGUGUUUCCGGGACUGCAAAGUUACUCCACGGGAGGAGGGAUUGAAGAGCAUGGCAAAUCCAGAGGAGAGGCUAGUCCCUGCCUGAGCCCCCUCUGGCGGUGGGCCCAUGGCCACCUCUAACCCUAGCUAGGGUAGCCAAUUUUGGUUGGAUGUAAUCCUAGAGGUUUCAUCAUGUUACAUAAUUAUUAAUUAAAACUUAAUCUUGGAGGAUUGGCAACCCUAACCCCAGCCCCAGUAUGCUUGUAUUUAGUAGAUGAAGAUGAGCGACCAGACUAGCCUGCCUGGGCUGGGGCCAAGGGGGAAGGGCAAGCAGAAGGGGGCCUUCAGGGAGAACGUGGGAAGGGCUAUGCCAGGAUGUUGGGGGAGGCACAGCCUUCCCUUACCUACGCUACCUACCACCUGUGCUUGAUGUACUUUGCCUCCAACAGCUCCCAAAAGGGAAACCACAAUAGUGACCUGGCUGGAGGACUGAGUCAUGAAGAGGACAGCUGUGGCUUCUGAAAGCUAAAGAUGAACUGCAGAGGAGAAAAUGGGGUAUAAUUGCUGGAAGAGGUGUCGGCCUGAUUGAGCUAAUCUCCAAAACUGCCGGGGCAGCACCAUCUAGUGGUAGCGACGGAAGCUGAGCAUGCGGUCCAGGGUUAUCCGUGGUGACCGCGGAUAGUGAUCGUGCAUAAACCGUGAUCCACAGACAUUGGUGUUUAAUGUCUUCUUGGCCUGGGUGGUAUCAAAUGGAAAGCUGAGAACUGUUUGAGCAUCUGAACAAGACUUUGGGUAAUCAGUCCUAUAAGAAGAGAGACGUCUCCCUUUUACAUAUGUUGGAAACCUCUCUACACCUGUUACUUCCUCUUUGCUGUGUAGAGAAUCUGAUCAGA